GAUGAACGCUAGCUACAGGCUUAACGCAUGCAAGUCGAGGGGAAACGACAUCGAAAGCUUGCUUUUGAUGGGCGUCGACCGGCGCACGGGUGAGUAACGCGUAUCCAACCUGCCCACCACUUGGGGAUAACCUUGCGAAAGUAAGACUAAUACCCAAUGAUAUCUCUAGAAGACAUCUGAAAGAGAUUAAAGAUUUAUCGGUGAUGGAUGGGGAUGCGUCUGAUUAGCUUGUUGGCGGGGUAACGGCCCACCAAGGCAACGAUCAGUAGGGGUUCUGAGAGGAAGGUCCCCCACAUUGGAACUGAGACACGGUCCAAACUCCUACGGGAGGCAGCAGUGAGGAAUAUUGGUCAAUGGACGAGAGUCUGAACCAGCCAAGUAGCGUGCAGGAAGACGGCCCUAUGGGUUGUAAACUGCUUUUAUAAGGGAAUAAAGUGAGUCUCGUGAGACUUUUUGCAUGUACCUUAUGAAUAAGGACCGGCUAAUUCCGUG
rnacentral:rRNA from 1 species